AUGAUGUUGCUUCUGCUGGUCCUCAUGAUAUUUUCCAUUUUUAAGGAGAAUGCUGAUGCUGAAGUGAUAACCUCAUUCUUCACAAAGCAGCAUGUUUUGGCAGGAAGAGAUGUUACACUUUCCUGCAACUACAGUGGCAAUGUUCAAAAUUUGCAGUGGUAUCGUCAGUAUCCCAGAUCCAAACCUGAGAAUAUAAUUUUUUACACUGAGAGCAACAGUCAGUCAGAGCCCAAGCUUCGUCUGUAUGCUGUGGCCGAUAAAGGAAUCAAACGUAUGAAUCUGAGCAUAUAUUCUACGGAGCUGGAUGAUUCUGCUCUGUACUACUGUGCCCUGGAGCCCACAGUAAAGCGAAUGGGAAUGUCAUCAGACCAAACCAAGUGUCUGUAG